GACGAACGCUGGCGGCGUGCUUAACACAUGCAAGUCGAACGGAAAGGCCCUGCUUUUGUGGGGUGCUCGAGUGGCGAACGGGUGAGUAACACGUGAGUAACCUGCCCUUGACUUUGGGAUAACUUCAGGAAACUGGGGCUAAUACCGGAUAGGAGCUCCUGCUGCAUGGUGGGGGUUGGAAAGUUUCGGCGGUUGGGGAUGGACUCGCGGCUUAUCAGCUUGUUGGUGGGGUAGUGGCUUACCAAGGCUUUGACGGGUAGCCGGCCUGAGAGGGUGACCGGCCACAUUGAGACUGAGAUACGGCCCAGACUCCUACGGGAGGCAGCAGUGGAGAAUAUUGCACAAUGGGCGGAAGCCUGAUGCAGCAACGCCGCGUGCGGGAUGACGGCCUUCGGGUUGUAAACCGCUUUCGCCUGUGACGAAGCGUGAGUGACGGUAAUGGGUAAAGAAGCACCGGCUAACUACGUG
rnacentral:rRNA from 1 species